UUGACCUCGGAUCAGGUAGGGAUACCCGCUGAACUUAAGCAUAUCAAUAAGCGGAGGAAAAGAAACCAACCGGGAUUGCCUCAGUAACGGCGAGUGAAGCGGCAAGAGCUCAAAUUUGAAAGCUGGCUCCUUCGGGGUCCGCAUUGUAAUUUGCAGAGGAUGCUUCGGGUGCGGCCCCUGUCUAAGUACCCUGGAACGGGUCGUCAGAGAGGGUGAGAAUCCCGUCUGGGAUAGGGUGUCCGCGCCCGUGUGAAGCUCCUUCGACGAGUCGAGUUGUUUGGGAAUGCAGCUCUAAAUGGGUGGUAAAUUUCAUCUAAAGCUAAAUACUGGCCGGAGACCGAUAGCGCACAAGUAGAGUGAUCGAAAGAUGAAAAGCACUUUGAAAAGAGAGUUAAAAAGCACGUGAAAUUGUUGAAAGGGAAGCGCUUGCGACCAGACUCGCCCCCGGGGUUCAGCCGGCAUUCGUGCCGGUGUACUUCCCCGGGGGCGGGCCAGCGUCGGUUUGGGCGGCCGGUCAAAGGCCCCUGGAAUGUAGUACCCUCCGGGGUACCUUAUAGCCAGGGGUGCAAUGCGGCCAGCCUGGACCGAGGAACGCGCUUCGGCACGGACGCUGGCAUAAUGGUCGCAAACGACC
rnacentral:rRNA from 2 species